UUGAACGCUGGCGGCAUGCCUUACACCUGCAAGUCGCACGGCAGCACGGGUGCUUGCACCUGGUGGCGAGUGGCGAACGGGUGAGUAAUACAUCGGAACAUGUCCUGUAGUGGGGGAUAGCCCGGCGAGAGCCGGAUUAAUACCGCAUACGAUCUACGGAUGAAAGCGGGGGACCUUCGGGCCUCGCGCUAUAGGGUUGGCCGAUGGCUGAUUAGCUAGUUGGUGGGGUAAAGGCCUACCAAGGCGACGAUCAGUAGCUGGUCUGAGAGGACGACCAGCCACACUGGGACUGAGACACGGCCCAGACUCCUACGGGAGGCAGCAGUGGGGAAUUUUGGACAAUGGGCGAAAGCCUGAUCCAGCAAUGCCGCGUGUGUGAAGAAGGCCUUCGGGUUGUAAAGCACUUUUGUCCGGAAAGAAAUCCUUGGCUCUAAUACAGUCGGGGGAUGACGGUACCGGAAGAAUAAGCACCGGCUAACUACGUG
rnacentral:rRNA from 1 species